ACUGCUAGUAACGGAAGAAGAAGAGGAAAACUUUGAGGCAACAACAACUUGGAUUUCACGGGAGAGCUCAUUCUUUCAAGCUUAUUUCCCAUGAGCCUCCGCUGAUUGUGUGAUUGCAAUCACCCCACGCAGCUGCCAUGGUGACAGCAACACACCUGCCCUGCGUUGGCCUCAUCAGUCCCUCCCUGCUCCUGAGUUUUUCCCAGCCAGUCAGCUCCCUGCCUGUUCUUCUGCCUCGUCACGUCAUUCCCCUCACCUGAGCUUCUCCGCC